GGAGGUUCGGGGCGGCGCAGCCCCGCGCGGUUGUGGGAUCGCUCCCGGGGGCCGCUCCUCUCUCGGGCACUGGGGUCGCGGGAGACGUCGUCGGGAGCUCGGUUUCUGGAGGCCCUUCCCCACCCGGCCUCUGCCUCCUCCACUCCCCCGGGCUGGACGGAACGGGGCCCAGCGCGGGAUGCGAGCAAACCUUUGGGAAGGUUUCCCUUGGCCCCUACAGUGUUGGCGUCACAGACAGGAUCCUAAAGCUGCUCUACUUUUCUGGAAGCCACAGUCCAGGGAACCCAGGACCUGACAAAGCAUCAGAAGGGUCUAAACUCCAAUAAAAUCCAGCUGGGUUACAUCAAUUCAGACAUCUGGAUAAAAGGAUGAAUGAAACCAUGUACAUAAUACAGAAUUAUGCAUGCCAGGAAAAAAAAUUAUACUGCCUAAAAGCUGCAACCUUCAUGACAUCAAAUCUAUUUUAACACUGGCUGGUUAUGUGAGGAAAAGGCUAAUAAAAAAAAAUUCUGGCUGACCAAAGAAGUAUGUAUGUAUGUAUGUGUAUUUAUUUUUAAAUUAAUAUUGAGAUGGAUUAAUGUUCUAAAAUUUGGAAUUUCUAACAUUAUCUUAUUCAUAAUAUCAUAUAUCAAAAGUCUCUGAAUAGAAAUUGUUCAAAGGCAUAUAAUCUAAUUAUCAUUACCAUGUCACUAAUCUAACCUCUAAGUAAUUGCUAAAUGCCAUCAGCACCUUCAUCUCCAAUUACAUUUUCAUGAUAUUUCAAGCUACAAUAACAAAACAGAUGCUGAUCUCGGCAUUACUAAGCAACAGGAUAUGUAUACUUUUUAGAGUGUGAAAAUAUCACUGCUCUCCCACAGUUAAUGAUACUUAUUUUCCAAGAACUUCUAGUGAUAUGAUUAUGCUCAUCCAAUUCCCAUGAGGCCAACACUGUGAUCACAGGUUACGAUAAGAACUAAAAUGCCACCCACAGCCAUGUCUGAGUGACACGCAAAACGCUUUGAAACUCUUUUCCA
rnacentral:lncRNA from 10 species